GACGAACGCUGGCGGCGUGCUUAACACAUGCAAGUCGAACGGGUCUGCCCUGUUUUUUGCGGGGUGGGUCAGUGGCGAACGGGUGAGUAACACGUGAGUAACCUGCCCCUCACUUCUGGAUAACCGCUUGAAAGGGUGGCUAAUACGGGGUGUUCUGGCUGUGCCGCAUGGUGUGGCUGGGAAAGAUUCACUUUUGUGGUGUUUUGGUGGGGGAUGGGCUCGCGGCCUAUCAGCUUGUUGGUGGGGUGAUGGCCUGCCAAGGCUUUGACGGGUAGCCGGCCUGGGAGGGUGGGCGGUCACACUGGGACUGAGAUACGGCCCAGACUCCGGCGGGAGGCAGCAGUGGGGGGUAUUGCACAAUGGGCAGAAGCCUGAUGCAGCGACGUCGCGUGAGGGAUGGAGGCCUUCGGGUUGUGAACCUCUUUCGCCGGUGAAGAAGGUCCUGCUCUUUGUGGUGGGAUUGACGGUAGCCGGGUUAUGAAGCGCCGGCUAACUACGUG
rnacentral:rRNA from 1 species